rfam:Brachypodium distachyon strain Bd21 chromosome 3, whole genome shotgun sequence.
UAUAUACUCUCUCCGUCCAACAAAAGAUGUCCCAAGUUUGUUAAAAUUAGUAUAGAUACAUUUAAAUUUAAUCAAAAUUGAGACAUUUUUUGUUGGACGGAGAGAGUAUUAA